AAAUUGUAAUUUUCCGAAUUUUCGAAUUUUUUUCUUUUUUUAGGAAAAAUGACGUCAAUCAAGAUCUAGUGGAGCAUGUUCAUAAUAAAUUUCAGGAAAAACUUCCAUUAGUUCCAGCGCAUAGACCGUUCUAUGACGAUGCACCUGCACCUGGGUACGUAGACAGGCGAUUCACGGAUUUCUUUUCUGGGCGUGAGAAUUUCUCUAUUAAUGAUGUUUCCAGCAAUAUACAUAGAGGGGUGUUGCCACCCGCCCUUGGACCUUUUCAUUCGCCCCCAAUCCCUAGCCCCUUGGGGAACCAGCAUCUUAGCUUUGGAAAAUAGAUUGUUUUGAAUUUAAUCUCAUUGUUAUUUGUUAUUGUUGAAAUAAAAAUAAGUUUCGGAA